CNUGCAGUCGACGAACUUCCGUUAAUUGANNAUNGACGUGCUUGCANCUGAAUGAGAUUUUAACACGAAGUGAGUGGCGGACGGGUGAGUAACACGUGGGUAACCUGCCCAGAAGCAGGGGAUAACACCUGGAAACAGAUGCUAAUACCGUAUAACAGAGAAAACCGCCUGGUUUUCUUUUAAAAGAUGGCUCUGCUAUCACUUCUGGAUGGACCCGCGGCGCAUUAGCUAGUUGGUGAGGUAACGGCUCACCAAGGCGAUGAUGCGUAGCCGACCUGAGAGGGUAAUCGGCCACAUUGGGACUGAGACACGGCCCAGACUCCUACGGGAGGCAGCAGUAGGGAAUCUUCCACAAUGGACGCAAGUCUGAUGGAGCAACGCCGCGUGAGUGAAGAAGGNUUUCGGCUCGUAAAGCUCUGUUGUUAAAGANNAACGUGGGUGAGAGUAACUGUUCACCCAGUGACGGUAUUUAAC
rnacentral:rRNA from 1 species